GGGAGAUACCUGCUGUGUGCUGCUCGUGUCUGCAGGGGAAGGUUUGCAAGGACUCUGGGGCUUUAUGGCUAAAGGAAAAAAGGGUUGUGUGUGUGUGAUCAGCCUCUGGUCUCUUCUUUGGCUGUUAGGAAAGUUUAAAUUCUGUUAUGAAAGUUUAAAUCCUGUUAUGAACGUUUAAAUUCUUGUUCUUCCCCUGUGGGUCUCGUUCCUCCCUCACCUAAAUGUCAGGUCAGGCUGCCCUGAGCCAGCUGGGGUUUGUUGCUGUGCUGUCCCCUCCUCAACGUGUGGUGGCUUUUCUCUGUGGCUCCUGAGUGGAGAACACACUUUGCCAAUGCUUGUAGGCCUGGGGAAGAAAGGAUCCAGCAGCUGGAUUCCUCCUCUGGAGCCUCACCCUGCCUGGAGGGUCACAGGGAGACUGUCCAUCUCCUGGGGUCACUGCAGGAGUGGAUGGCUUUAGUGGAAUGUCUCCAUCUGGGAUCCAGGCUGAUCCCUGAGUGUGUUUGUAUCAGCACAAACUGGCAAAACCUUCUGACCCUUAUUGGGUAGAAUUAGAAUUGUAGAGCAGCCUCUCCCGUUUACAGCCACUUUUUCCAUCUUUGGAUGGCAAACACACACGAACACACUCUCCUCUUUUGUUAAAAAUCAAUUGAUUCCAAUUGGUGCAGGUUUUUUUUUUUUUUCUGGAACAGGUUAUUGGUUGCUGUCUGGCCUAAGCUCUUAUAAAGUAACCCAAUACUCUGCCCUUCCAGAGCAACCAGCAAAUGCCCAGUUCUGGGAGGCAGCAGUGACUCCUCGGGGAGCUGCUUCCUGUCAGGAUGUAUUUUCUUGGGAUGACUCAGGAGCUGCUUCACGAGAUGCAAGAAAAACUGCCCAUCUUUGUCCUGAUUGCAGCUGGACUGUUGGAUUUGUCUGGAGCCUCCAGGAGUGAACGUGAUGCCAGUGACAUGUUGGCCCUGGGCUUCCCUGGAUGGGCCCAGCCCAGAGCUGAGAGCAGCCCAGUGCCCAGCGAGGGCUUCCCUGGGACAGAGGACGACUUGGAUGGGGUGACCUUCCACUUCCAGAGCCCAGCAGCUGAUCCCACCAAGGCAACCACGGCUGACUCCAGCCCUGCUGCCACAGGGAGAGCUGCAAACGGGACAGCUCUGCUGCCUGGGGGCUUGGCUGGGACCCUGGAGGUGUCUGAGCCUCUGCACACAGAAACAGCAGCUUCAAAACCCCAGGGUGGACACGCCUGGCCUGGCCAGCUCUUGGGGAGCUUCAGCAUCCCUGUCUCCACACAAGGAUCCCAGGCUGCCACAGCUCUGGAGCAGCCAGGCAGCUCCCUGCAGAGACCAGGAGAUAUCCCUGGGGCUGGUCCCAGCCCUGCCAGCCCUGCUGCUGGGCUGCCCCAGCCCCCUCCCAGUGCGGGGCCACACCAGGACUCUCCCCAGUUCACAGCUGUCCCCUCCCUUUCUGUUCUUAUGGAGGUGACAAAGCCUAAAACAUCUCCCCUGACUUCAACAGUCCAUUUUCAUCCUCCAGGAAAAGGAACAGCAGCAUCUCCAUCUCCAAGCAGAGCUGGGGUUGCUCCUGGAGGUGCAGGGCUGGGCUGGUCCCCCCCAGGGAUGCACACAAACCCCCAGGCCCAGCCUGGCAGCACAGCAGCUCUGACUCCUGCACGCCUGGACAGGACCCAGGGUAUGGAUGCUGGAAUUACAGCUUCUGCAGUCCCACCACAGCCAGCUCCAGGGGGCCUGGAUGCAGCCUAUUCCAGCACAACACAUGCCAGGGCCACUCAGCUUUCCCCUGCUUUGCCUCUGAAGGAAGAGACCACAGGCAGCAAAGGCAGGAAUUCCACAGCAGCUGUAACAAAUGGUUCUGGACACCCAACCCAGCUGCCUGCUCUGCAGACACUGCCACCUCUUCAUUCCUCUUCGUUCCUGAUGGGAUCCCCAGUUCCUGGUGGGUUAAGUCCAUCUCCAAUUCAAGGGCCUGUUGGCACAACUGGAGGACAACAGCCCCUGUCUUUGGACAGGGCUCUCAACUGCACCAAACCUGCUGCCCAGGAAAGCAACAGGAGCUCUCAAGGAAUCACAGUUGUAGCUCUACAAGGAGAUGCUGAUCAUGGGAUGGUGACAAGUAAACCUGGAAAAUCUCUAUCCCCUGAGAGCCCACAGGCUUCUACUACUUCAUCCUCAUUAAGCCCAUCAGGGAUUUCCACAUUAAAGCUUUCCCAGACUACUAAAGAGCAAAAAGAAGUAACAUCUGCACCCUCUCCUGGAAUGUCUGGCUUUGGGAAUGCAGACCUUCAGCCCUGGGAUUCUGUUCAGGAGGGGCUUCAGCCACCAGGUGCCUCUUUCCCUGCUCGUGCUGGAUUGCAGCCCAUGGGCAUCCCCCGCUCUGCUGAGAGACUUCACACAACAACAACUUCACCCCCAGCCCCUGGCCCUGGGUCUCAGGCUCAGGGGGCUCCUGCCCACCCUGUACCUCAGGAGGCCUUUGCUGUGACACUGCAGCCUGGCCGUGGUGAGGGACGACGCCUGCGGCUCCGGCAACUACACGGUGCAGCUGAGCCUGAGCCCCGCUGCUGA
ensembl:lncRNA